rnacentral:rRNA from 1 species
CCUACGGGGGGCAGCAGUGGGGAAUAUUGCACAAUGGGGGAAACCCUGAUGCAGCAAUGCCGCGUGAGGGAAGACGGAUUUCGGAAUGGAAAGCUCUGUUAGUAGGGAAGAAAAAUGACGGUAGGGAAGGAGGACGCAACGGCUAACUACGUGCCAGCAGCCGCGGUAAGACGCAGGUGGCGAGCGUUGUCCGGAAUUACUGGGUGUAAAGGGAGCGCAGGGGGGAAGCCAAGUCAGCUGUGAAAACUACGGGCUUAACUUGUAGACUGCAGUUGAAACGGGUUUUCUUGAGUGCAGUAGAGGUAGGCGGAAUUCCUAGUGUAGCGGUGAAAUGCGUAGAUAUUAGGAGGAACACCGGUGGCGAAGGCGGCAUACUGGGCUUUAACUGACGCUGAGGCUCGAAAGUGUGGGGAGCAAACAGGAUUAGAUACCCGAGUAGUC